rnacentral:rRNA from 1 species
CGUAUGUAUUUUAAGGGCCGCAGUAUCCUAACUGUGCUAAGGUAGCGUAAUCAUUUGUCAUUUAAUUAAUGACCAGUAUGAAGGGCUUAACGAGAGGGCAACUAUCUAAUAUUUAACAAACGAAAUUAACCUAUUAGUUAAAAGGCUAAUAUGUUCUAAAAAGACGAGAAGACCCUAAAGAGCUUAGCAAAAAUUUCUAAUAGUAGAAACUUAACCUCUAAUUAUUAAAUAUUUUUUGCUUAAUUGGGGUGAUUAAAAGAUAAAUGAAACUCUUUUUAAUAAUUACUUUUUAUAAGGUUUAAAUGAUCCGGACUUUCCGAUUACAAGAAAAAGUUACCUUAGGGAUAACAGCGUAAUGCUUAUUGAGAGCCCAUAUCGACAUAAGUGUUUGCGACCUCGAUGUUGGACUAAAAUUAAACCAUGAUGCAGAAGUCAUGAUUUUAGGUCUGUUCGACCUUUAAUUUUUUACACGAUCUGAGUUCAGACCGGCGGGAGCCAGGUUG